rnacentral:rRNA from 1 species
ACCACCCUUUAAUGGCUGGUGUUCUAACGUAGACCCGUGAUCCGGGUUGCGGACAGUGUCUGGUGGGUAGUUUGACUGGGGCGGUCUCCUCCCAAAGAGUAACGGAGGAGCACGAAGGUUGGCUAAUCCUGGUCGGACAUCAGGAGGUUAGUGCAAUGGCAUAAGCCAGCUUGACUGCGAGCGUGACGGCGCGAGCAGGUGCGAAAGCAGGUCAUAGUGAUCCGGUGGUUCUGAAUGGAAGGGCCAUCGCUCAACGGAUAAAAGGUACUCCGGGGAUAACAGGCUGAUACCGCCCAAGAGUUCAUAUCGACGGCGGUGUUUGGCACCUCGAUGUCGGCUCAUCACAUCCUGGGGCUGAAGUAGGUCCCAAGGGUAUGGCUGUUCGCCAUUUAAAGUGGUACGCGAGCUGGGUUUAGAACGUCGUGAGACAGUUCGGUCCCUAUCUGCCGUGGGCGCUGGAGAAUUGAGGGGGGCUGCUCCUAGUACGAGAGGACCGGAGUGGACGCAUCACUGGUGUUCGGGUUGUCAUGCCAAUGGCACUGCCCGGUAGCUAAAUGCGGAAGAGAUAAGUGCUGAAAGCAUCUAAGCACGAAACUUGCCCCGAGAUGAGUUCUCCCUGAGACCUUGAG